GACAGUAUGCCCUGAAGAUGGGCCAGUAGAAUGUGUCGGAGACAGUCUCCAGGGCCAUGGGUCGGUCUAGCUCGAACCACUGAGAGCCUUUACGCCAGUGGUGCAGGUGGAUGUGUGGAUACAUGCGGCGGCUGUAGCGGACGCGGCCGAAGGGGAGGUCGUAAGAAUCUACGUGGGUUUGAGUGGAGUUGAUGAGGUAAGAGUAGAUAGUGGUGAAGUUGAAGAGAGGGAUGCAUGAUUCCGAGAGGAGAAGGAAACGCUCGUUGUUGAUGUCUAAUAAUGCGUUUGCUAGUAACCUACGUUCUGCGUCUACCAUGUUUGCGUUUGCCCAGUCCACUCUCUGCGUUAAUACAUUAGGACGUUAGACUGUGAUCUCUUUGAUUAGAUACAAAUUUAUAUAUUCAUCAAUUGUGCAAUUGUUUUGAGAUUAUGUAGUUAUACUCAGGCCCGGCCCGUUAAAAUAAAGGGCUGGAAGCAAAAACAGAAUAUUGGGCCUGUUAUCAAGUAACUAAAAAAAGGGUUCCAAAGAUUCGAACCUCUCACCUGAAGCACUCUAAAUUCCAGCGUAAACCAACUAUGCUACAAGAAAUUUGUGAUAUUUUAGGGCCGGAAAAUCAUAUAUUUUAUAAAGGGCCGGAAGCACAAGCUUGUGCAGCUUGUACCCAGGGCCGGUACUGGUUAUACUACAAAGAAAAUUAAUACUAAUCGAACCUAUUUAGUUCAGAGAGGGUAAUUAGGUUAGUGGUUAAGUACACGGAUAACUAUAUGUAGAAUGGUAGAUAGAGCUUUUUUUUUUUUGAACAAAUGGUAGAUAGAGCUAUUUAAAAUAUAAAAUGUAGAAAGGUAGAUAGAGCUAUUUAAAAUAUAAAAUGUAGAAAUGUAGAUAGAGCUAUUUAAAAUAUAAAAUGUAUUCCAUUAUAUGCCAGAUGAGGAUAUACACAAGUCAUUGUGGUCUUUCUGUGAAUGGGCUAAAGUGUUAAACGCUAUUUGUCUUUUCCCCAAACCAAGCUGUUAUUGCAACAAACCAAAAUGGACAAGAGAAGGCAGAAAGGAAAAUAUUAUAAACGAUGGGGUUAAAGGCUGACCUUGCUCGGAAUGCGGCGGCCAAGAAACACCGAGCCUUGGGGCAUGGACUCUUUGUAAGACGGAUUGGUGUGAAUAUAAAUAGUGAAAAGACCUUCACACCCUCGAAAGAAUCUUUCCCAUAGAGGAGCCAGAGGUAAAGGUCCCCUUGUCAAGAACAUGAAAGCAACCUUAGGGGUUCGAGAGAAAGGGUAACUCCUGAUCUUAGGAUCCAUUGAAGCUCUCCAAAAGAGCUCGUUGUCUUCCAUAUUAUGCAUGAUGUUAAUCUUCGGUGGCCUCAGAAACAUUUCGAGCCCGGAGCAACUUAUCCAAAGCAUUAGACGAAAACUUGCGAGCAAAGAGAAAGCAAGGCCUCGUCUUAUCCACUCCUUUGUGUUCACAAUACUCUUUGUCACUCCUCCUAAGCCAAUUCAAGAACUCCACAUUCACCUCCGGCCCACCAAACGAUCUCGGAUGGGCCCUACGCUUCCCCCAGUCAGUCCACGUCAACGUCCUGUUUGAGUUACGCGACCCGAGGCUGGGCGUCAAGUUGAGUAGCGUCGGGAAGUAGUGCUCGUCGGGACAGCGACAGUAUGCCCUGAAGAUGGGCCAGUAGAAUGUGUCGGAGACAGUCUCCAGGGCCAUGGGUCGGUCUAGCUCGAACCACUGAGAGCCUUUACGCCAGUGGUGCAGGUGGAUGUGUGGAUACAUGCGGCGGCUGUAGCGGACGCGGCCGAAGGGGAGGUCGUAAGAAUCUACGUGGGUUUGAGUGGAGUUGAUGAGGUAAGAGUAGAUAGUGGUGAAGUUGAAGAGAGGGAUGCAUGAUUCCGAGAGGAGAAGGAAACGCUCGUUGUUGAUGUCUAAUAAUGCGUUUGCUAGUAACCUACGUUCUGCGUCUACCAUGUUUG
rnacentral:lncRNA from 1 species